rnacentral:rRNA from 1 species
UACGAAGGGGGCUAGCGUUGCUCGGAAUGACUGGGCGUAAAGGGCGCGUAGGCGGAUGGUACAGUCAGAUGUGAAAUUCCCGGGCUCAACCUGGGGGCUGCAUUUGAUACGUAUGAUCUUGAGUGGGGAAGAGGGUCGUGGAAUUCCCAGUGUAGAGGUGAAAUUCGUAGAUAUUGGGAAGAACACCGGUGGCGAAGGCGACUUCCUGGCCUGUUCUUGACGCUGAGGCGCGAAAGCUAGGGGAGCAAACGGGG